rnacentral:rRNA from 1 species
UACAGAGGUGGCAAGCGUUGUUCGGAAUUACUGGGCGUAACGGGCGCGUAGGCGGCCCUCUAAGUCAGACGUGAAAUCCCCCGGCUUAACCUGGGAACUGCGUCUGAUACUGGACGGCUCGAGUUUGGGAGAGGGAUGCAGAAUUCCAGGUGUAGCGGUGAAAUGCGUAGAUAUCUGGAGGAAUACCGGUGGCGAAGGCGGCAUCCUGGACUAAUACUGACGCUGAGGCGCGAAAGCUAGGGGAGCAAACGGG